rnacentral:rRNA from 1 species
UACAGAGGGGGGCAAGCGUUGUUCGGAAUUACUGGGCGUAAAGGGCGCGUAGGCGGCCUGCUAAGUCGAACGUGAAAUCCCUGGGCUCAACCCAGGAACUGCGUCCGAUACUGGUUGGCUUGAAUCCGGGGAGAGGGACGUGGAAUUCCAGGUGUAGCGGUGAAAUGCGUAGAUAUCUGGAGGAACACCGGUGGCGAAGGCGACGUCCUGGACCGGCAUUGACGCUGAGGCGCGAAAGCCAGGGGGAGCCAAACGGGG